rnacentral:rRNA from 1 species
AUUGAACGCUGGCGGCAGGCCUAACACAUGCAAGUCGAGCGGCUCGGGGGACGGGUGCGUGAUGCCUAUGUAUGGGCCUGUUCGUGGGGGAUGGCGUCCAGAACGGGACGCUAAUACCGCAUCCUCUCAGCUGAGCCUAGGUCGGAUUAGCUAGUUGGUGGGGUAAGGGCUUACCAAGGCGACGAUCCGUAACUGGUCUGAGAGGAUGAUCAGUCACACUGGAACUGAGACACGGUCCAGACUCCUACGGGAGGCAGCAGUGGGGAAUAUUGGACAAUGGGCGAAAGCCUGAUGCAGCCAUGCCGCGUGUAUGAAGAAGGCCUUCGGGUUGUAAAGCACUUUAAGUUGGGAGGCGUUACCAACAGAAGAAGCACCGGCUAACUCCGUGCCAGCAGCCGCGGUAAUAC